rnacentral:lncRNA from 1 species
AUAAUUGCUCACUAUGAGAAUCCUAUAAAUUAUAAAGCAUAAGAAUAAUUUCUUAAACGUUUAAUUAUAUAAGAUAUCUCAUUUUUAAUGUAUAUUGUUUGCAGGAAAACAUGCCAAGAUUAGCAACCUGUACACAAACAUUCUUUGAGCCUCUAGAUACAGAGUCUCUGAGAGCAGUUUCCAGUUCCAACACAACAGCACCUCAUCUUCUGCCUGCACUCCUGAACACACGACCAGGCUCACACCACUCGAGACCUCCGUAUACACAAAAUAGGACCCAUAAGUCCUUCUGAAGGUACCCUCAACUCAAUCUCGUUCUUGCCUGGAGAAGCAAUGUGAUGAAGGAUCUAGGUUUGAACCCUGGCAUUUAGCUUUCUGAAUAGUUGUCAGAUGAGUUUUUUUUUUAACAAGAAGCUAAAGAAGAUUGAAAUGCAAUGAUGAAAAAUUGACUCAGAGGUGGAAGAUGUAAUUGUUUUCAGUGGAAUGCCUUCUGUCCACUGUAUAGGAUCUACUGAAUGUUCACAUGGCUGGCUCUAAGUGCCAUUCUAGACUACAUACUAUGUGAAAAAAAUCUUUCUUCUGUUCAUUUUAUAUUUUCUCAGGUCCCUUCCAAGGAUGGAUGACCUAGAGGCUGGGAUAUCCAGAAGAGUUGAGACAGAAAGAGAAAUAACUAGUAUUAUGUUCCUUAAAAUGUCCUUCCUUUUUGAUCAACACUAAUACUUAAAAAUCAUCUGAGCAGGUUCUGCUAUAUAUAUAUAUAUAUAUAUAUAUAUAUAUAUAUAUAUAUAUAUAUAUAUGUUUAAAAUUAUUUAUAUUCAAUGUAUAUGUACAGCUUUACUAGCUUUUGUGGACUUUAUAAAUUAUACAUAAAAUGGGUCAGACAUGGUAGUUCGCACCUAUAAUCCCAGCACUUUGAGGGUCCCAGCACUUUCUCAGGUCCCUUGGAAGAGAAAAUAAUUAUUUUUAUUAUUACUCAAUAAAUUAACAUACAUUUGGUUUGGAAUUUAAAAAAUUAAAGAUAUCUUGAAAAAUUAAACAUCAUAUUGUCUUCACUGGAAUGGUUGUCUCACCCAGCGUCAUCUCUUCUAGUGGCUGGAUCCUGUUCUUCCUGAAAACCACUCAUUUCUGAUAACAGUAGAACUGUAGCUCAGAAUGCAAGCCAAAACUGCCUUCCUUGAGUCUGGCCUUGGUCACAAGUGGGUCAUCGCUUUAUCCAGGACAAUCAUGAUUCUUCCCUGGAAUUUUCACACAUGAUCUUAGCCAAAAAGCUGAGAAGAAAUUCUGGGAUUUUCCAAUGCACACUUGAGUUUUCUUUCCAGCAGCCAAGCUGUGUGAAGCUGAGCCUGGAGCUGCUGAUGGCCAUGAUUCCUGAGUUAGAAAAUGUCACAAUAUAAGAUGCACACUAAAUCAAGACCAAAAACAUUUAGAAACUAUGACAAAUGAAUGAAAAUUAAGUGGUGAAAUGACAUUAUGUUCUUCUAUUUGAUUCCACUUAUGUGAAUUUCUAGACUAGGAAAACUUAUUUUGAUUAAAAGUACAUCUGUGGUUUCUUGGAGGCUUGAUUUGCAGUAAACGUGCAGGAAAGUGUUAACAUCAGCAGGCAGGAGACUCCGAUCCUUAGAAGGGCCUGCUUGCGAGCUUGGUCUUCGCUGGCAUCUAGAAACUUAUGUUUCAAGAGAGUACCCACCAUUCUCUGAUAAGAAUGAUUCAUUGUCCUAAACCAUUUGUUCAAACAAUUGGUUUAUCCUGAAUAUCUGUUUUUCUUGAAGUCUAAAAUUUUUAUACAGAGUAGGCAGAGUGUGUCCUAUGUAAUCAACCCUAAUAAAAACCAUGGACUCUGAGUGUCUCAAGAGCUUCCCUGGUAGACAGCAUUUCAUACUUGCCAUUACAAGUUGCUACUGGGUGAAUUAAGAUCAGCUGGUGUGACUCCAGUGGGAUAAGAUUCUUGGAUGCUUGCACCUGGUUUCUUCCGGAUAUUGCUGGAUGCACCUUUUCUCUUUGCUGAUUUCGCUUUUUAUCCGUUUUCCAUAAUAAAUCACUGCCAUGACUAUGCCUAUAUGCUGAGUCGUGGGAGCACUCCUUACAAAUCACCAAACCUGGGGAUGGUCUUGGGACCCCUGGUACAGCAAAAAGAAACUUUUUAUCUCAAUAGAAGUGUGAUUUAUGUGGCUGCAUUCAAUUGUCAAAAUUGAUUGAACUGUGUACUUAAGAUCUGUGUAUUAUACCUAAUAAAAUUAUUUUGAGGAAAAAAC